rnacentral:rRNA from 1 species
AGUGAACGCUGGCGGUAGGCCUAACACAUGCAAGUCGAACGGCAGCACAGUAAGAGCCUGCUCUUACGGGUGGCGAGUGGCGGACGGGUGAGGAAUACAUCGGAAUCUACUUUUUCGUGGGGGAUAACGUAGGGAAACUUACGCUAAUACCGCAUACGACCUACGGGUGAAAGCAGGGGAUCUUCGGACCUUGCGCGAUUGAAUGAGCCGAUGUCGGAUUAGCUAGUUGGCGGGGUAAAGGCCCACCAAGGCGACGAUCCGUAGCUGGUCUGAGAGGAUGAUCAGCCACACUGGAACUGAGACACGGUCCGGACUCCUACGGGAGGCAGCAGUGGGGAAUAUUGGACAAUGGGCGCAAGCCUGAUCCAGCCAUACCGCGUGGGUGAAGAAGGCCUUCGGGUUGUAAAGCCCUUUUGUUGGGAAAGAAAAGCAGCAGGUUAAUACCCCGCUGUUCUGACGGUACCCAAAGAAUAAGCACCGGCUAACUUCGUG